rnacentral:lncRNA from 1 species
AAACUUAUCUCCUGGGAGGAUAACAUUGAUCCUUUGUGCACCAGCAGCAGAGGAAGAAAGGCUCCUGUCGGCCAUGAGCUGUUGGCAUCAUCAUGAUGAAAGGCAGGAUCCCCAUUUAGAAGAGGAGAUGAGAAAACCAUCAGGCUUGGUGGCUGCCUUUGCAGGCAGCACUUGGGAAUCACGAAGGCCCUGGAGCUAAGACGUGUUCUUGACGUUGCUACACUGACAUGCACUACUAUCAGCUCUCCAAUAACUGGUAUCUGCAGGGAACAAAGACUUUCCCACAUCGAUUUCUCCUUUGGGGAAGUGAAGCCAACUGGCCACCAUCUAACUGAACCAAUCAGCCUGAGGUAUGGCAAGUGUGUAGAUGGACAGAACAAGAUGUCGCAGGAGGGAUGACCUGGCUGAAGUGCCCUGGGACAAAGAGAAAUUGGUGGGGGUUGGGCCAAAUAAUAUAAAUAAUUUUGUAAUUUUAUGCAUGAGUGUUAUACUUCAGUAACAAGUUACAAAAUGAAAAAAAAAAAACCCAAUCUCCACAAAUUUCUACCCAAAUCAGUAAUAACAAUAAAAGGCAAUCUUUG